GUCUUUUUGAUUAAUAAUUUAAAGUCUAAUCUGCCCCCUGAUUUAAAAUUAAAGGGCUGCAGUAUAUUGACUGUACAAAGGUAGCAUAAUCAAUAGUCUUUUAAAUGGAGACUUGUAUGAAAGAUUUGAUGAAAUAUAAACUGUCUCUAAUUUAGAAAUAGAAAUUAAUUUUUUAAUUAAAAAGUUAAAAUAUAUUUAAAAGACGAGAAGACCCUAUAGAGUUUUAUAAUUAUUGAUAAUAAUAAUUAAUUAUAUAAAUUAUAAAUUUUAAUAAUUAAAAUUAUUUUAUUGGGGUGAUAGAAAAAUUAAAAUAACUUUUUUUAAAAAUAAAACAUAAAUAAGUGAUUAUAUGAUCCAUAAUUGAUGAUUAAAAGAAAAAAUUACCUUAGGGAUAACAGCGUAAUUUUUUUUUUUAGUACAAAUAAAAAAAAAAGGUUGCGACCUCGAUGUUGGAUUAAGAUAAAAUUUAAAUGCAAAAGUUUAAAAUUUUGAUCUGUUCGAUCAUUAAAAUCUUACAU
rnacentral:rRNA from 1 species